UGCAGACGGAACAUUCCUCAUUCACAUACCCUGAAGGGUUCCAAGUCAUAUCUAUAAUAAGGAUUCCUACUCUGAUAAAUAUGCUGCCGUUCAUAAUUCCGAGGUUCAAUCACUUCUUUUUCAAGCAUCUUCCAUCGUUCAUAAAAAGGCCUCUCUAUAACAGACAUGUGGUUAAUUGCCAUCACAUCAUAGAUGAGGUAUCUUCUCUCCUGCUUCUGCGAUUCCGGCAUAGUAUCAAUAAUCAUCUCCCCAUCAAGCAAGGUAUAGUGAUGCGUCUUAUCAGCUAAAACUUCAUUUGUCCCUCUGCAAGGAAACCUCAUCUGGACCCUUCGAAAAUUAAAACUCCUAUCAAUCAAAUAACA
rnacentral:misc_RNA from 1 species